UUUUUUAUGUUAUAUUAAUUUUUAAAAAAUAAUAAUAAGAAAAAAGGAAAAUCAGAAAAAAAUAUAAAAAAUAAUAUUUACAUUUUGGCCCCCACUAUUUUUAAAAUUACAUUUUAGCCCCUCACUUUUUCUAAAAUUACAUUUUAGCCUCGGGAGUUUUGCGUCCUCUACAAUCCAGUCUUUCUGGCGCGUCAGACUGUCCCCUAAUAGUAGCCAGGCGUACUUCGCGCCCUCACCCUCAGCUAUUUCCGGCGGCCAGCCUAGGCUCAUGAUGGCCCUCCACUGCUAC
rnacentral:lncRNA from 1 species